rnacentral:rRNA from 1 species
GACGAACGCUGGCGGCGUGCUUAACACAUGCAAGUCGAACGGAAAGGCCCCUUUGGGGGUACUCGAGUGGCGAACGGGUGAGUAACACGUGAGUAACCUGCCCUUGACUUCGGGAUAACUUCAGGAAACUGGGGCUAAUACCGGAUAGGAAUCCUUGCUGCAUGGUGGGGGUUGGAAAGCUUCGGCGGUUUUGGAUGGACUCGCGGCUUAUCAGCUUGUUGGUGGGGUAGUGGCUUACCAAGGCUUUGACGGGUAGCCGGCCUGAGAGGGCGACCGGCCACAUUGGGACUGAGAUACGGCCCAGACUCCUACGGGAGGCAGCAGUGGGGAAUAUUGCACAAUGGGCGGAAGCCUGAUGCAGCAACGCCGCGUGCGGGAUGACGGCCUUCGGGUUGUAAACCGCUUUCAGCAGGGGCGAAGCUUGUGGUGACGGUACCUGCAGAAGAAGCACCGGCUAAUUACGUG